CAGCAGCCGCGGGAAUACGAAGGGGGCUAGCGUUGCUCGGAAUGACUGGGCGUAAAGGGCGCGUAGGCGGUUUUCCAAGUUAGAUGUGAAAUUCCUGGGCUCAACCUGGGGACUGCAUUUGAUACUGGGAGGCUUGAGUAUGGAAGAGGGUCGUGGAAUUCCCAGUGUAGAGGUGAAAUUCGUAGAUAUUGGGAAGAACACCGGUGGCGAAGGCGGCGACCUGGUCCAUAACUGACGCUGAGGCGCGAAAGCGUGGGGAGCAAACAGGAUUAGAUACCCCCGUAGUCCCUGUCUCUUAUAC
rnacentral:rRNA from 1 species